AUUCAUCGAUUGCUUAAAUAAUCGAUAGCUGUAGACCUAUUUUCUGUUCCAGCAUCAUGGCUAUGUUAGAGAAUUAAGGUCUCUCCGAGUCCAUUUGAGGAGCCCCUCCUUGACACCGAGCAGAAACCUAAACUCUGUCAUCUCUGACACACGCCGAAUACAAGUGGAGUCCCUCCCAUGUCAGCUCCCAACAGUCUAAGGCACAGCCUCGCGUGCUGCUAGUGUUGCCACCCCUCCUUCUUCCUCCAUCCCUCCCUGGGUCUCACCUGACACUGGCAGGCAGGACUCGUUCUGCACACACCAGCCGAAUUCGCCGGGAGCACGGGCCAGCGAAGGCGGGGUGCCGCUGAACACCAGACAGGAUUGACAGUCGGACAGGAAGCGCGCCAGGCCCAGGCAACCGGUACUGCCGCACUGUGAAGGACAAAAGAAGCGGGAGAGUUGCAGCAGUGAUUGGAACACUGACCUGGGGUGUGCGGGAUUGCGCGUGUCUACAAUGUUACCGGAUCGGUGGGCUGAUACUCUCUGCAGCGGCCUUCACACCAGCUGCAUUCUGGGUUCUUCAGACACAUGCUUUCAUCCAAGGCCUCAGCACAAACAGCAUCCUACAAAAGCAAAACAGACACAUGACCACAAUUGUAGUUUUCUUCAGCAAAGUCCGCUUUAAACUCUACUCUUUUAACAUGUAAUCUCUCUCACCCGAUCGCCCUCUUUGCUACUGACAAACAGUGGCAUUUUGAAAGCCACCAGGUCUCCAAGGGCAACGCCACUGUAACCCCCUGCAACCAGCAGCACUCGUCCCUCUAUCACAGCGGCAACGUGGGAGUAGCGCCCCUUUACACCUUCCCCAUCUUCAGAGACACCCACUGGUGACAGCCCAAAUGGUAAAAGAAGAUCUCCUCGUCAUAGCACUUCUCUUCUUGGUAGUGGAUAUGAACAUUUCCACCUGGUACAAAUAAAAAGCCCAUCAAGUAGACGCAAAAACACACAACUGUGACGAUUUAUGCACAGAUCUGCUCACCGUAGACUACCAUGUAAUUUCCAAUGACGGUGGCAGAGUGGAAAGCUCGCUCUCGGGGGCCCGUUGCCGGGUAACGGGAACGGAACAACGUCCAAAAUCGCUGGUCCACGUGGAAUACGUCGGUGUUGUUCACCCUCACGCUAAACCUGCAAUAAAGGAGCACGUUCACUUUCGGUUUCACUGGCCAGUGGUCAUGUUGUUAACGACAGACAAUGCUCAAAUCGGCAGGGGGUCUAUAAAAAUGCAAAGCGGAUUUAACAUUAGUUGGAAAUAGGCAAUAACAGGACAGAGGCUGUUGUUUCUGAAACUUGAAAUUAAACAUAUUCAAUUAAUUUUACACUUUAAUGUUGAUUUGGAGUGCAUGAGAAAAGUAGAGAGGAAAACACAGCUCUUGCUGAUUCAUUUAUAGAGGCAAAGGUAGAAAAAGCUGCACAUGAUACUUCAAAAUACAUUGACUGUUCUCUUGUGGGGGACAAAGAAAAUGACAUAAGACAGUUGCCUACAUAUAUUACAUAUACAUACAGGCCAAAAGUUUGGACACACCUUCUUAUUUCAAUGUGUUUUCUUUAUUUUCAUGACUAUUUACAUUGUAGAUGUGUCCGGCAAGAAAUCUGCGUUCAAAGGACUCCGGCUUAUUAGUGAUUCCCAAAGCCCAAAAAAAGUCUGUGGGCUAUAGAGCGUUUUCAUUUCGGGCUCCAGUACUCUGGAAUGCCCUCCCGGUAAAAGUUCGAGAUGCCACCUCAGUAGAAGCAUUUAAGUCUCAUCUGUAUACUCUUGCCUUUAAAUAGACCCCCUUUUUAGACCAGUUGAUCUGCCGUUUCUUUUCUUUUUCUCCUAUGUCCCACUCUCCCUUGUGGAGGGGGUCCGGUCCGAUCCGGUGGCCAUGUGCUGCUCGCCUGUGUAUCGGCUGGGGACAUCUCUGCGCUGCUGAUCCGCCUCCGCUUGGGAUGGUUUCCUGCUGGCUCCGCUGUGAACGGGACCCUCGCUGCUGUGUCGGAUCCGCUUUGGACUGGACUCUUGCGACUGUGUUGGAUCCAUUAUGGAUUGAACUUUCACAGUAUCAUGUUAGACCCGCUCGACAUCCAUUGCUUUCCUCCUCUCCAAGGUUCUCAUAGUCAUCAUUGUCACCGACGUCCGACUGGGUGUGAGUUUUCCUUGCCCUUAUGUGGGCCUACCGAGGACGUCGUAGUGGUUUGUGUUGUGGUUUGUGCAGCCCUUUGAGACACUAGUGAUUUAGGGCUCUAUAAGUAAACAUUGAUUGAUUGAUUGAUAGAUUGUCACUGAAGGCAUCAAAACUAUGACACCUGUGAAGUGAAAACCAUUUCGGGUGACUACCUCUUGAAGCUCAUCGAGAGAAGACCAAGAGUGUGCAAAGGAGUACUCAGAGCAAAGGGUGGCUAUUUUGAAGAAACUACAGUAUAAAACAUGUUUUCAGUUUUUUCACCUUGUUUUAUUAAGGACAGAACUCCGCAUGUGCUGCCAAAUUUGAUGCCUUCAGUGACAAUCUACGAUGUAAAUAAAUAGUCAUGAAAAUAAAGAAAACGAGUUGUA